CAUAUUUUUCCAAACUGUGUUUAUUCAUAAAGUGAGGUGAGAUAAUAGAGUCUUUGGGUUUUAUUUUAAUGAGUUUUCAUCAGGGAUUCAGAUCACAGAGUUCUUGGCAAAUUCAUUCAUGACUGGCCUACUUUUCUCAGCUAUAGGCAAAGUGAUCUUUCUAAGACUAGCUUAAGGUUUUUUGUUUUUUUUUUUUUAAUCCUAAGCAUUUUGACCAACAAGACAAUCGUGUUCUUAAGUGAUGGCAUGUUAUUUUAGAUCAAUGAAACUUGAGAAUUUUCCAUAUUAUCCUUCUGGAAUUUUUACACGUAUCAGCAUUUUUUCCCAUGACAAUCAUAUUAAACCCUAAUACUUCAGGCACGGUAUUUUACAGGGAAUAGAUCAGCAAUAGUUUUUCCUGAAGCACAUGUUACAGACUUGUAGUCUUAUAAAAACUAACCUGAAAAGGAUCUGGAUUUCUCAGUAACGCAUUUUCUUAAAAUUUGAGUCUGAGAUUCUUUUGAACUCUGGCUAAUACUGAUCAAAAACAUGCCCUCUGUGUCUGUUUUUUAUAAAUUUGUUUGGAAAAAGCUUAUAAUUCUAGGAAUGGAUUUCCAUUGUUGAUUUUUGUCCUUAAUGUUGUCUACAAGUUGACCUUGAUUUUCCUUUUUGGGAAGGUCACAUAUGAGAAAGGUAAAAGCAUAUCUAAUAUAUACAAUCAAUACACAAAUGAACUUACCCAGUUUUAAUAAUAGUCACAGUGAAUAUAUUGUUUUGAUAAAUAGGUUUUUCUGCUUGUUUGUUUUGUUUUGUUUUUUAACCGGUCUCCAAGAAGAGAGGAAUACGGAGGGAAGGAAGAAUUUGAGAGAAGGGGAAGGUCACAAUUAAAACACUGACAUGAGGAUUCUUAUAGAAUGUAACUCAGAAUUUUCACAGAGGUUUUAAGGAUUGGCAGUUGUAGCUUUUUAAACAAAUAAAAUAUAUUUCUAAGUUUAUGAAGUGUUUAAAAAUCACUGUGGCUAACACUGUAUUUUUUCCUUGUCAGAAGAGAAUUAAAAGGAGAGCUCUUUCUCUGUGGCAUGGCCAUCACCACACAAGACUCUGUAAUAUAUUCACUUCAUCCCUUUGCAAGAGGGCCAUAGCUCACUCUCCUGUGACAGAUGGCGAUGCCUAUUCUUACAUAGUCUUAAGCAAGCUCCAGUACACCCUAAGCAUCUCUAAAGGUUAGAGGUUUCUGUUUUCACACACUGAGUAUCUCAUCCUUUCCAAUGUAGGUACCUGGUGAGCAUAGUAAACAGGAGUUGCCUUGGUCUGUGGAUCUCUUGUUCAAAUCCAGUCAUGCGCUUUCUAUAAUGCCCUGCCUACACAGCUAUACUGGAAUUGAUUUGUACCUUUUCUCCUUUUUAGUUGCAAGCACAGAAAACUAACAUUAGAUUACUAAGUUCAAAGAAGAAUAAAUAUAAAAUGGCGUAUUUUCCUAUCAGUAUAGAAAGGAAGGACCCUUACUCCUUUCUCUAUUUUACUUUCCUGGCCCCUGUGCAAAAAAAGUUGUAGACACUAUUUGUGUUAUCCAACAUACAUGUGGCUUAUUUUGUGGAAAGUUGUGUGGAAGAUGCAUUUUAUUAAACUCAUUGACUUUUCUCCUAUGAAGUUACAAAAACGAAAUUGCUAAAAUCUUUUUUCUUUAUUUCUGAUUGUUGCAUAAUUUACAACAGUUUCUAACUACCCUAAUAAACCUCUCUCAUUCUAACCCUUAUUAUAAGCACAAGUUUUGUAACAUUCUAUAAGCAAAAGUUAGAUAUACUAGAAAGAAGAGGGAAACCCAUAACUGCGUCUUUUGUAAUACUUUAAGAUGGUUGCAUUAAUCCUUACCCACUAUGUGCUUGCUACUUUUUUCAAUAAACUAAUUCACUUAAUGGGCAAGUGGAAACAUCAUUCACCUUCCUUUGCUAAACAUUGACCUAAUAAACCCAAACAGAAGUCUUAUUAAAUGACACACACAACUACACAGAACUGUAGCUUCUAAAUUCAGUUUUCAGCCCCAA
rnacentral:lncRNA from 1 species